GGAAAAGAGUAGAAACCAUUAAACAAAAACAAAAAAACACGUAUCUAUCACAAAAACACAGUGGCACAUACACACACUGACACACUCAGACACACACAUUGACAUACAAACACACUGAUACACACUGACACAUACACACACACACUUAGGUACACACAGUGACACAUACACAAACAUUGACACACUCAGAAACACAAUCUCUUUUACAGACAAACACA